rnacentral:rRNA from 1 species
UACGGGGGGGGCAAGCGUUGUUCGGAAUUACUGGGCGUAAAGGGCUCGUAGGUGGCCAACUAAGUCAGACGUGAAAUCCCUCGGCUUAACCGGGGAACUGCGUCUGAUACUGGAUGGCUUGAGUUUGGGAGAGGGAUGCGGAAUUCCAGGUGUAGCGGUGAAAUGCGUAGAUAUCUGGAGGAACACCGGUGGCGAAGGCGGCAUCCUGGACCAUGACUGACGCUGAGGAGCGAAAGCCAGGGGAGCAAAGC